rnacentral:rRNA from 1 species
GAUGAACGCUAGCGGCAGGCUUAACACAUGCAAGUCGAGGGGCAGCGCGGGUAGCAAUACCUGGCGGCGACCGGCAAACGGGUGCGGAACACGUACAGAACCUACCUUUUGUCUGGGGGCAUAGCCCGGAGAAAUCCGGAUUAACUCCCCAUAAUAUAUUUGAGUGGCAUCACUUGGAUNUUAAAAAUUUAUUGGACAGAGGUGGCUGUGCGUCCCAUUAGCUAGUUGGUAGGGUAACGGCCUACCAAGGCAACGAUGGGUAGCUGGUGUGAGAGCACGACCAGCCACACGGGCACUGAGACACGGGCCCGACUCCUACGGGAGGCAGCAGUGAGGAAUAUUGGUCAAUGGACGCAAGUCUGAACCAGCCAUGCCGCGUGAAGGAUGAAGGCCUUCUGGGUUGUAAACUUCUUUUACCUGGGAAGAAAACUACGAUUUCUAUCGUAGCCGACGGUACCAGAGGAAUAAGCACCGGCUAACUCCGUG